AUGGGCAUGUUGAAUGCAAAUGGUUUGCAAGUACAGGCUUCUUCAUUCUUUGUGAUAAUAUGCUUUGUCAAGUACCCUCCAGAUGUGCCGGGAAAUUAUAUCUAAACUUGGAGAGCCAGUGACCGAACAAAUAAUUGUGGCCUUGCCUGUUACAAUGCAAUUUUUGAAUAUUUAUAUGAAAUUGGUCUUAAAUAGAAUUGAAUGACGAGAAAUGAUUCAUAUAAUUGAUCCCACAGUUUGAAAUUAAGAUUUAAUUAUUA
rnacentral:misc_RNA from 1 species